rnacentral:tRNA from 1 species
UCCCGGAUAGCUCAGUUGGUAGAGCAAGCGGCUGUUAACCGCUUUGUCGUAGGUUCGAGUCCUACUCCGGGAGCCA